UACGAAGGGGGCUAGCGUUGCUCGGAAUCACUGGGCGUAAAGGGUGCGUAGGCGGGUUUUUAAGUCAGGGGUGAAAUCCUGGAGCUCAACUCCAGAACUGCCUUUGAUACUGAAGAUCUCGAGUCCGGGAGAGGUGAGUGGAACUCCGAGUGUAGAGGUGAAAUUCGUAGAUAUUCGGAAGAACACCAGUGGCGAAGGCGGCUCACUGGUCCGGUACUGACGCUGAGGUGCGAAAGCGUGGGGAGCAAACAGG
rnacentral:rRNA from 1 species